GGAAAUCGAAAGGAUCAGAUUCAGAGACGGCAACUUACUCAAGGUCACAGCAUUUUAAACCCAAGUGAAAUCUCCUAGGCCCUUCAUGCCACACUCAUCCAUCCCUACCUACUUGUGUUGCAACCAAGGGCCCCACUGUAGUGCCUAGGGGAGCAGGUCUAGGGCACAGUGCCAGGCCUGAUUAAUGUCUUCCUUACCAUUUUCCAGUGAGGGGCUGUGAUUAGGCCUAUUUAUAGGGGCCUGGUCCCUUAAUAUUCUGCCUGGUGCAUCUCUUGCCAAUCAAAUCAGUGCUGUCUGCAGUGUGAUUGCUGCUUUAGUGGCACCAGGGAGAGGAGUUAAUUAAACCCAAUAUAAAUAACCAUUUGGCAGUUGAUCAGGCAAUCUCCCCUGCUACCCCAUUUCUACCCCUUUGUUUCCAGCCUCUUUUUUCCUCUGCAACCAAGGUUUCUUGUUUAUCCAAGGUGGGGAGCUGAACUGAGACAAGGUAUGGAAAGGGUGCCUGGCAGGUAGCAAGCACCUUGUAGGGGGUCAGAAAUGUUGCACCUUCUCUGAACUCCUCCAUCUCUGUCCCCUACUCCCCUAUCUGUGCAGGCUGAAGCUAUGUGCAUAGUUGGGAUGAGGGCUGUGUUGUCUCAACACCACGCUGCCCUGUGGUGGGGGCGUGCCGGUGGUCGUGGGUGGCUCUGACGCUCCGGCUCCGACCCACAGGCACCAUGACUCCUGUGAGGAUGCAGCACUCCCUGGCAGGUCAGACCUAUGCCGUGCCCUUCAUCCAGCCAGACCUGCGGCGAGAGGAGGCCGUCCAGCAGAUGGCGGAUGCCCUGCAGUACCUGCAGAAGGUCUCUGGAGACAUCUUCAGCAGGUGGGUGCUGCCACUCACCCCCACCUGAUGAGAGGGCCAUCCCUGUCCUGGGCAAUCCCAGCAACACACCCUCUGGGAGCAGCCCCCUUGGGGAAUCCCGGUCCUGGGGAACCCAUCUGGCUUCCCUGUGUGGGAGGGGCUGAAGUGAGAGCCCAACUUGGAAGCUUUUACUCCUGGGAGUCCGAGAGCUCACUCCCUUCCACCCCACUUAGCCUCCUGGUUUCCUGUGGUGGCUCUGCUCUCACAACUCAUGCUUUUCCUC
rnacentral:lncRNA from 1 species